AUAAUUAGGGUACCCUAAAGCUGAGGUUUGGGGGGUGCUCUACAAAAAUGUUAUUAAAAUAAAGCUUUGAGGAAUGGGUUAGUCUGCCCUUUGCAAGAGAGGCCACAGGUGUGGGACUAAUUAGCAAUCAGUUACAGGUGAGUGUUCCCUUCAGUCUCUGCUGCUGCUCAUUGUGAGGCGAGUUCUGCCCCAGAUAUACCAGGCUGAGGAGAGCGGCUGCUCCUGCUACUAAAUGGCCCGCAGUGUUUUAUACGAGCCGUGCCCUUAUCUCAGUCAGGAAGGUGCAACAGAAUAACAGUCUGGGGUGAAAUUGCUGCAGUUUCCGCACCUGUCUUUUCUCAUUGCCCCCGGGCCUCUCCAGUAAGCCGAGUGUCAGGGAUACAUUCCCCUCACUGCUUCGAUUAUUGACAGUGCGAAUGAUAGAAAGAUUUUCUGGGCUGAGAAGAAUGAGAAGCAGAUACAGGGGAAGAAAAACCGUUCUGAAUACAGCAACCCGAGCAGCCCAUGGAUCAGCAUUUUGCUAUAAG